AUCCAGGAAGAGCUCACUGCUACCUUUACGAUCGAGUUAUUCAUCCGGCAGACACCACAAAUGUUGAUGAAGGCAUCCAAACAUAUACUUCUGAUUUUGGUGAACAGAAUAUCGCCUUCCAUAAGCCUACUGCACAACGUUCAACAUGGGAUAUUCAUCAGUCAUCCAACGGUGUGGAUGGACUUAAAUACUCCAGUAUGUUCCAUACUAAUACCAGCGCCUGGUGGUGCGUGGAUCUUCUGGCCGUGCAUGACAUUGAGUGGCUGGUUAUGUAUAACGUUGUUUUCGAUAGUCCAGACAAGGCUGGUAGAAUUGGGGGAUUUGAGAUUAUGCUAGCGGCAAGCGGUGGCUGUACUCAGGCAGGUUUCACGGCAUCAACGCUGUGUUACAAAGAUACAAGUAGUACAGAACUAAAUAUCUACACAAUCAACAGCUGCUCUGAACCAAACACACAGUUUG